rnacentral:rRNA from 1 species
GAGGAAUAUUGGGCAAUGGACGCAAGUCUGACCCAGCCAUGCCGCGUGAAGGAUGAAGGCGUUCUGCGUUGUAAACUUCUUUUAUUAGGGAAGAAACCACUUUUUUCUAAGAGUGUUGACGGUACCUAAGGAAUAAGCACCGGCUAACUCCGUGCCAGCAGCCGCGGUAAUACGGAGGGUGCAAGCGUUAUCCGGAUUUACUGGGUUUAAAGGGUGUGUAGGCGGACUGGUAAGUCAGGGGUGAAAUCCCGAAGCUCAACUUCGGAACUGCCUUUGAUACUAUUAGUCUUGAAUUAUGAUGAGGUUGGCGGAAUAUAACAUGUAGCGGUGAAAUGCAUAGAUAUGUUAUAGAACACCGAUUGCGAAGGCAGCUGACUAAACAUAUAUUGACGCUGAGGCACGAAAGCGUGGGGAUCAAAC